rnacentral:rRNA from 1 species
UACGUAGGGUCCGAGCGUUGUCCGGAAUUACUGGGCGUAAAGAGCUCGUAGGUGGUUUGUCGCGUUGUCCGUGAAAACUCACAGCUCAACUGUGGGCGUGCGGGCGAUACGGGCAGACUGGAGUACUGCAGGGGAGACUGGAAUUCCUGGUGUAGCGGUGGAAUGCGCAGAUAUCAGGAGGAACACCGGUGGCGAAGGCGGGUCUCUGGGCAGUAACUGACGCUGAGGAGCGAAAGCAUGGGGAGCGAACAGG